GGCGGCGUAGCUUAGUUGGUUAGAGCGGCCGGUUCAUACCCGGCAGGUCGUUGGUUCGACUCCGACCGCCGCUACCA
rnacentral:tRNA from 2 species